rnacentral:rRNA from 1 species
CACGGGGGGGGGCAAGUGUUGUCCAUCUUGACUGGGCGUAAAGGACAAGCAAACGGUUCGAUCUUCCGACUGACGACUGCUACUAAAAUUCUUAUCCAAAUAAUAAGAAACAGUCCGAUGAGUUGAACUAGAGUUAGAGUUAGGUUUCUAGAAUUUCUAAAGAAGAGGUAAAAAGCUGCGAUUUUAGAAAGAAUACCAAACGGUGAAAGCUUGAAACCAAACCUACACUGACGUUGAGGUGUGAAAGCAUGGGGAGCAAAUAGG